CUAGUCUCCUCUGGAACAAGUCAGGGAACAGAAUAGACUCUUGUGGCUAGAAUGUUCCUUGCCGAAUGUUCGGGGUUCAAACCGCAAUGUCGGCAGCCUAAAACCCCCGCCCCCCCGAUGUCCUAACCCCCACCUGCUCCUUAAGUACAUCUAUCACUAUCUUUUCCCUUGUCAACGUCUGCUCAAUAAUAAUUGGGUUGCUGUUGGGGAGUAAUUCCUUGACCUUUUGAGGUCAGGCCUGAGCAUGACGCGUUUAAGCCUUCUGAAUGUGUGCAUACGAAGGCCUUUAAAACCUCCUCAAUAACAACUUUCAACAACAAGCCGGGGUUGAAACGAUGCCACGUAGUUUGUGAGGGCACUGACAGUGCAAAGGUAGACGUAUAGCGGUUGCCGUCUGCACGCAGUCCUGUGUUUGAGUCCUGUAGCCCCCGAGGACACGGGGACGGCUUCAGUAAACAUGUUUGUGGUCAUGCUGAGGCAAAUGUGGUUCAAUGUCUGUGCCCACAGUACAUUGAUAACACUGCUGGGGAUAGGAGUCCUUCUCUAAACUGUGAUUGAAAAUAACCAUGCUCUCAAUCUUCUGAAGAUACUCGCAGUGGAACCGUUCCAGCCUGGCCUGUUGAUUCGUGCUGACACAACAGAGCAGCACGAAUCAACUGUGGAGAACAGAAAAUAUUUUAUCUGCCAGGAAUCGAUGGUGACCUUCGACCAAGAAAAACAAAGAAAAAGGACAGGAGACCCAAAAAUAUAAACAACCCCAUAGAUAAAACAGUGUAGACUAGUAGCGCCUCAGUAAAAUUAUUUGUUGAAUGUCUAGUAACCCUAUCACAACCAUUUUAUGUCUAAUAGGAUGCCAAACUACAUCCGAUACAGAACCGCCAAACCAUUAUCCAUGCCUCUUCAUAUUAUAUUACAGUUGCAGCUAGUGGUGUUCUGUUACCAUGGUGAAUGGAUAGCAAGUUUAAGUCCCCAGCUCAACUCUGGGAUUUGGUUAAAAAAAGGCAGUGCGAGACAUAGCAACAAGGUGACUUACUUAGAUAUGUGUUUCCAUUCAGCCCUACUGUUCAAGCGAAAACACUCUCUUCAAAACCAUUAAUAAAAUGGAUGAAGCAUUUCAAACAAUGCAUAUCUUGUAAGUAGAAAGAUUCUUCAAAAGCAAACGUAUCGGAACAAUGUUUGACUCUCCUUUUUGAAAAUAUCUGAUAUGUCUUUGCAUCAGCCUCCUAUAUAUAAAUGAGAAAGAAGAGAACCAAAUAAUGGUAAAUAGUGUUUGAAUAGAAAGGAACAUUAAAAACCCACUUCUCAGAAAGGGUCAUUCUGACACUCAGUGCUAUGGUUGCCUAGCGGCAGCCUCCCAUACUGGGCGUGGCCCAACUCCCCUGCCUCAGCUACUGUUCAAUAUUUCACAGCAGAUGAUGUCAUGACUCAUGAUACGUGCCAGCCCAGCCCCACCAGUCUGCAUCAGAGAGGCUCCAUCAACCUCCGCAACCGAGGGGAAUGAGGUGGGGCAGCUAGGAUGAAUGAUCCAUAAGACUUGGGCAUUUUACGAUGAAAGCAUCAGAUUUGGUUCAUAUGUUGGUUUUGAUUUAAUGAAACAUUAAAGAUAUGAAGGGGCUGUGAAUUUGGACCCUGGGGGGCCAUGGCAGCUAUUUUUUUAAAUGGCUACCUAAUACCCUCUAAAAAAGAUUCAACCAGAUUAAACAGGUUUCAAUGAGUCUUGACGAUUGCAAAAACGAGUUCUGUCUGGUAGGAUGAGAUGUCAGAAAAACAGACUUCACUGCUUGUUGUCAGAAUUCUUCCCUUUACUUUCCCUCAAUAUGGAAUAACAAGAAAUAAAUACAAGACUAGAAAGGCAGUCCCUUUAACGCUGUCUGGCCCACACCAGGCCUAUUUGCGAGGGGUCAUUGCAUUGAUUUGUUAUUUUAGCAACUACCGCCCAUGACAAACCAGAUAAGGAAUCCUGGUGAAAUCGUAAUCAGUUUCCCAAAAUAGUCCAAGUGAGUUUCUAGUUUCCAACUGCCCUUUUCUUUCAUAACUGCUUUCUUUCUGGUUCUCUUAGCAGGUCUCCCCGCGACCUGCGGUAUCAAACAAACCGGCCCAUCUGUGAGUUUAUUUCACCCUUUCUAAAUCACGACAGCAGUACAGUCUUAACUAAUACGCCAAUAUAAAUUAAAGGAAUGGAUCACCCCAACAAUACAAUAAUUUAAAAAUCUGUUUAUUGUACUCUUCAGCAGUUAACAUACAUAGAGUAACAUUAGGCCAUCAUUAUUUAAGAUGUAGCCGUUGUUCUCAGGCUUCUAGAUAGCUAUGAUUUCUACUGAACUUCAAAGCACCGCAUGCUCAGGUCUUGCGGUGUGCUCCUGCCCGCGGAACAGCAGAUAGUCGAGGAGGGAGGCUUGAGGUCGAACACCAGUUUUUUCCUUGUUUACCUCCGAGGCCUGGACUGAGCUGAUGAGCGGCGGGG